rnacentral:rRNA from 1 species
CCUACGGGUGGCAGCAGUGGGGAAUAUUGCACAAUGGGGGGAACGCUGAUGCAGCAACGCCGCGUGGGUGAAGAAGUACUCCGGUAUGUAAAGCCCUGUCAGCAGGGAAGAAAAUGACGGUACCUGACCAAGAAGCCCCGGCUAACAACGUGCCAGAAGCCGCGGUAAUAAGUAGGGGGCAAGCGUUAUCCGGAUUGACUGGGGGUAAAGGGGGCGCAGACGGCGAUGCAAGCCAGGAGUGAAAGCCCGGGGCCCAACCCCGGGACUGCUCUUGGAACUGCGUGGCUGGAGUGCAGGAGGGGCAGGCGGAAUUCCUGGUGUAGCGGUGAAAUGUGUAGAUAUCAGGAGGAACACCGGUGGCGAAGGCGGCCUGCUGGACUGCAACUGACGUUGAGGCCCGAAAGCGUGGGGAGCAAACAGGAUUAGAUACCCGUGUAGUC